CCCGGUGCCGGCGGUGACGCGGUGCUGGCCCAGGCACGGUGCAGCGGAUCGAGGCGCUGCCGCUGGCCCGCGUGCUGCACGAGCUGGGGGCCGGCCGGACGCGCGUGGGGGAAGCCAUCAACCCCCGCGUGGGCGCCGAGCUGCUGGUGGCCGUGGGGCAGCGCCUGCGGGCAGGGGAGCCGUGGCUGCGGCUGCACCACGACGGGGCGCUGGGGGCCGAGCAGCGCCAGGCCCUGCGGGACGCGCUGCUGCUGGGCUCCGGCACCGGCACCGCCGCGCCCCGCGUCGCCGAGACCGGCAGCGCCGUG